rnacentral:rRNA from 1 species
UACGAAGGGGGCUAGCGUUGUUCGGAAUUACUGGGCGUAAAGCGUAUGCAGGCGGAUCGUUAAGUCGGGGGUGAAAUCCCGAGGCUCAACCUCGGAACUGCCUUCGAUACUGGCGACCUUCGAGUCCGGGAGAGGUGAGUGGAACUCCGAGUGUAGAGGUGAAAUUCGUAGAUAUUCGGAAGAACACCAGUGGCGAAGGCGGCUCGCUGGGCCGGUACUGACGCUGAGAUACGAAAGCGUGGGGAGCAAACAGG